UUUGCCUUAAUUUGCUUUUCUUUUUUUUUUACUUUUGAGUUCUCUUCAUUUGUACUCUAAGCAGUACAGAUUUACUUCAGUCCUGUCUUUGUAUCUUUGUACAGUCAAUACCUGGAGAAUUACCUGUGGGCCAACUUUAUUUCAAGCAAGGCCUCUGUGGAGCAUGUAAUGUCCGUGGUAGUUAUGGUGAAUGAGAAGUUCAGAGAAGGCGUUCCACCCUGGGAGUCAUUCAAGGAAAACCCACAACAGUUCCAUGGGUUUUUUCAACGCAUUAUAGAAAUAAGCUUGGCAGGUGAAGAUGUCCUAUCCAUCAGGGAACAGUCCAUAAUCUUGAGCUUCUUAAUUCACUGUUUUAACAGUCUGGUAUGUUCAGUAGGACCUCUGAAAUAAUUAUAUUUAUCAAUAAAAAUGUAAUAUAUAUAUAUA